CUCUAGCCCCGAUAGAAGAGGAAAUCCUUUUGUGUCCGCCGCGGCGGACACAAAAGAUUGGAAAAGGAUAGCGGGAUUAGCU
rnacentral:sRNA from 2 species